rnacentral:lncRNA from 1 species
UCGUGGCCCAGGUCCCCUUACCCCCGGACGCCGCCGUUGACGACCUCAGAUGCGCCCUCACCCGUUUCCUCCCCUACCACCCCGUCAACGAGUUCGAGUUCUUCUUCGAGAGCAUCGGCCUCCCGGCCUCCUCCUGCGCCGCCGCCUCCUCCUCCUCCCGCAGCAUCUUCCUUUCAGACGACGCCCCUCUCCUCGCCGCCGUUUCCGCCCUCAUCCACUUCGGCUUCCCCUGGACCAAGCUCGGCCUCCUUUACCGCGAGAAGUCCUCCAUCUUCUCAUCCGUCCCCAGCUGCCUCGUCGCCCGGCUGCGCGACCUUGAGGCCCGCGGCUUCCACCGGG